AACAGGGAUUGCCUUAGUAGCGGCGAGUGAAGCGGCAAAAGCUCAAAUUUGAAAUCUGGCUCUUUCAGAGUCCGAGUUGUAAUUUGAAGAAGGUAUCUUUGGGUCUGGCUCUUGUCUAUGUUUCUUGGAACAGAACGUCACAGAGGGUGAGAAUCCCGUGCGAUGAGAUGAUCCAGGCCUAUGUAAAGUUCCUUCGAAGAGUCGAGUUGUUUGGGAAUGCAGCUCUAAGUGGGUGGUAAAUUCCAUCUAAAGCUAAAUAUUGGCGAGAGACCGAUAGCGAACAAGUACAGUGAUGGAAAGAUGAAAAGAACUUUGAAAAGAGAGUGAAAAAGUACGUGAAAUUGUUGAAAGGGAAGGGCUUGAGAUCAGACUUGGUAUUUUGUAUGUUACUUCUUCGGGGGUGGCCUCUACAGUUUAUCGGGCCAGCAUCAGUUUGGGCGGUAGGAGAAUUGCGUUGGAAUGUGGCACGGCUUCGGUUGUGUGUUAUAGCCUUCGUCGAUACUGCCAGCCUAGACUGAGGACUGCGGUUUAUACCUAGG
rnacentral:rRNA from 1 species